rnacentral:lncRNA from 1 species
GAAAGUUCAUCAGACUAGGUCUUCUAUCUUAGGAGAAAAAUUCAUCAUACUAAGAUUUUGAUCCUAGGAGAAAGUUCAUCAGACUAGGUCCUCUAUCUUAGGAGAAAUAUUCAUUAGACUAAGAUUGUGAUCCUAGGAGAAAGUUCAUCAGACUAGGUCUUUUUAUCUUAGAAAAAAAUGUGAGUGCAAUGGCAACAUUUUAUGCACAUUAACAAGAAAAAUAAAGGCAAAGAUUUGAGAAACGUCCCUUUGUCGGCUCUUCUCUUCUCUUCUUUUUCCUUUUUUUUCUUCUUUUUACCCUUUUUUCUUCUUUUAUUUUCAUUUUUUUUUUUGAAACCACUUUCCUUGCACUAUUUUGUUCCUGUUCAAACAAAGAAAAUUUUGUCAAUUUUAAAAGUGGUGGUCGGUUUGUGGCCUUGAGUCUUAGGCAGCUUGGCUUCUGCUCAAUCAGCUUGAGCCGGCUUCAAGAGACUUUUGCUCUGCAUCAAUCCUAAUUAUUUCACACAUAGUAUCAUUUGUACUUGCGGCUCAAUCAGCCUUAUCUCAACUGGAGAUCUUUGCCUAGGUGACCCUUUCCGAUAUUUUGAAUGACUUUCCGCUUUUUGAGCAAUUUGUCUGUCAAAGAGAAUCACCAGUUAUCUUUCUUGUACCAAGUAGGCUAAGAAGAGUCUUUUUGGGGAAGCCUUUGUAUUAACCCUCAAGGUAUAUUGACAGAAACAACUUAGUGCUGGCCAAAUUUGCUUUAUGCAAUUGAAAAGCUGGUAGCAGAUUUUGAAAUCUUUUCUUGCUUGUUUUGACAAGGACCAACUCGGAGUGAAGGACACAAUGAUGCAAAGAAACAAGUAUUAACAAGAAAUUCCCCUGUCGGAACGACAAAAGGAAGAGUUUUUUUUUUUGCAAUAACUAGCCUUAAUGAUCAUAACAUGCAUUUUGGACUUAACGGCCGAUCUACCAAACUUCCCUUUUACCAUGUUUAUGACCUUUGAAGUCGGGCUUGUUUAUGCCAAUUAUUCGCAUCAGCUUCAUGACUCACUUUAGACUAGUGGUUCCCCAAGGUUUUUUCACCAACAAGUCUCUCUCAUUUAUUCAUCUCUGCUUACCGUCGCCUUACAGUGCCCGUGAGGGUUUUCACUAGUAAGACUCUCUCAUUUUUUUUCUAUUUCUUUUGCUUUAUUGUGUGAACAACUUGAUAGUAUUCUAUGUCGCGUGACAACCGUUGCUCGUUAUUUGGAAGGAUUUUGGAUAGGGUUGGAAAGAAGGGUCGGCAUGAAGGUUCAAAGUAGGCUCAAAAUGAAGGGUUUUAGACUUACAACUCUUGGAAUCGACUAUUUCAAAAGUGAAAUAAAAUCUUUGCCCCAGUUCAGAUACUGGGAAUUUUUGGAUUUUUUCUAUUUUUUCAUUUUCUUCUAAAUUCUUAUUUAGUUGGAUCGAACU